rnacentral:lncRNA from 1 species
CCGAGCUACCUGGGCUGGUAAGGCGCCCAGGUGCUGUGGGGAUUCCCUCGCCUGUUCCCUCUCGCUCCCGGGCCUGCUGGGUGAGGAGGAGUCUGCGAGGUUCCUGAGCUGAACCGGCCCAUAGAGACCCUGAUGAACACUGAAGCAGAGCGCUGGGGACAGGGAGAAGAGGCAAAUAAGGAGCGUUUUAAAGGCAGUUUCCAACGGAGGGGCUGAAAAGAACUCUGACAACUCACCAGGUCUCACCGCUGGGUCACCAGCUGCUUUAUUGAGACAGCAAACCAGAGCUGCC